rnacentral:rRNA from 1 species
UACGUAGGGUCCGAGUGUUGUCCGGAAUUAUUGGGCGUAAAGGGCUCGUAGGCGGUUUGUUGCGUCGGGAGUGAAAUCCUCCAGCUUAACUGGAGGCUUGCUUUCGAUACGGGCAGACUUGAGGUAUUCAGGGGAGAAUGGAAUUCCUGGUGUAGCGGUGAAAUGCGCAGAUAUCAGGAGGAACACCGGUGGCGAAGGCGGUUCUCUGGGAAUUACCUGACGCUGAGGAGCGAAAGUGUGGGGAGCGAACAGG